rnacentral:rRNA from 1 species
CGACGUGAGGAACCUGCCUUGAAGAGGGGGACAACAGUUGGAAACGACUGCUAAUACCGCAUGACGCAUAGAGGUCGCAUGAUCUUUAUGCCAAAGAUUUAUCGCUUCAAGAUGGCCUCGCGUCUGAUUAGCUAGUUGGCGGGGUAACGGCCCACCAAAGCGACGAUCAGUAGCCGACUGAGAGGGUGACCGGCCACAUUGGGACUGAGAUACGGCCCAG